ACUUUAGAAUUUUAGAUGAUUAGGGUUAGAGAUCUAGAUAAUAUUUAGUCUUGACAUCAUCUAUCAAAGAAUUUGAAGCAUGAAAGUUUUAAUCAUUAUGAAAAUGGAAUUGUUGACAUUUCCUAUUUUAAUCUGUUCUCUUUUUGUUUAUGUUGACCUGUAGGCUAUGGUUUGUCUACGACCAAGAUACGACAAAAAGAAAAGAAAGUGCAAAUUAAAGAAUUUAUUUGACUGAAAAAAAUAGAUUUAAU